ensembl:lncRNA
UGAGUUCGCCAAAGGUACACACCCAAAGUCAUCUGCUCUGUGAGAGUGAAGUGAGAGAAUCAGAGCUGGAAAGAAAAAUGCCUUUCACUGUAAAUGAAUCCACAGUUCACGAUUAACAGUAACUCACGAAGGAAGUACAGUGAGAUGGGGGGGGGGGGGGGGUGUUAAGUCUUGUCGCUGCAAUUCCAUCUUUUCAAACACCCGGUAACCUUCCUCUCUUUUUUUGCCCUCCUUGCAUCAGCACUAUUUGUUGAAGAUCUUAACGAAAGACAAAGAAGCAAAUGUAUAUUUUAUGAAUGUGUGCCUCUGGUUUAUCUCCCUUUGUGGGGCUUGUGUAUACAAUCGAAACCCAGCUCUCGCAGAGAGAGGCGCCUUUUCUUCUCCUGUCCCCCGAUGUCAACGACAAGCUGACGGAGCUCGGUUGUAAGGCAGCGAUGUCCCAAAAUCAAACAGGUGUGGGGUUGCUGUUCAAUCCGGCCGCAGUCAAAUCCACACCCACAGAGUCCUGAUGAAGCAGGGAUGGCAAUGUCAGGGUGGACAUCUUCGGACGGUCUCCCACUUUGGUCCGGUAGCGGAGGUUUUCGAAGCGCGAGGAGCACGGGAGAGCUGGUGGAGGCAGGGCGCGGAGGGAGAGGCAUGAGGCAAAGAUCCAGUGCGAGAUGAAAGAGAUAGAUGCGCGCACGCUGGCGAACUGCAAACAGUGGGAAGUCUGCUGAUUUUGCAGAAGCAGCAGCAGCGUGUGACACAAAGCUCACAGAGGCAAUUAAGUAGCAAAGUAAACCGAUUUCGGGAACCAAAAGCGGUGCAUCCGCAAACAGCGGAAAAAAAACCAAAUGUCAGAAAUAUGACAAACUGCAUAACAGUUAGACUCAAGGGACUCGCCCUCUCACUGUGGCCUCGGAGAGAGAGUGUGUUUUUUCCAUACAUGUGCAGGUUAAUGAUAGCAUAUGAUCAUUCCAUGAUAUUUCAAGGGGUAAAGGGAGUGUUAGCAAGGUGUACAUGAAGGACUAAAGGCCUCAUGCCGACAUGCACUGUGAAUUGCAAAGGCCAGGAAGGCCCGCACCACUGUGCAAACCUUCACACAGACAUUCAUAAGGUUAGGGUUAAACUACGUGGUGUGUGUGUUUACAACUAUUGAAUUGAUAGCCAUGGAAUUUAAUUCUUACACUCCUGUUCCCCUGACAGGAAAGAGCAAUCACUGUGGCCUUCCCGUACAUUUUCAUGUUGUAAUCAACAUGAAUUCAAGGUGACUCAUUAAUGAAUGGACAAAACAACUACUAAAUACUUUUAGUUUUAUUUGCAUUCAAAGAAAAUCAUCUCAGAGGUGAGGUUGAGUGAAAGAAAAUACUAACUUGUAGAGACAAUCAGAAUUAGCAAUGUGAAUAUAAUCAAUAAUGAGUUGGGUUUUUAAAGUUUGUUUUUCCCCACGAGUCUAUAAAUGAAGACAUAAAUUAAGUCUGGAGUUGGUUGCGACUGUGCCAUCCUGCUAUUUGUGUUCCUUAAUGACUUUCUAAUUCCUCAUCAGUGGGUAGCUAGCCUCCACAGCAGGCAGACAGGGAGCAGUGGCAGGGUGCCAUCCAGGAACAGGUGCUCCUCCGUGUUGUGCUUAUGGUGUCUGUGGGCCUCAAUUACAUCCUUUAGGUUGCUCUUAAAAUCGGGAGAAUCUCAGCGGGUUCAGCGCAUCGACCUCAACUCCGGAUACGGGUUCGUUUUAAAUGCAGUGGCGGAGUUCGCUGGUCGCAGCGAGAAUGAGCAGGAAAUAAUUAGACAGUUGUGUUUAGAAGGCCAAAGGUGAACCGACCAUAGACCGAAUCGAUGGAGAUGAAUAUCAGAUUUGAUAUUCAUCGAGUGAUGAGGUCUGAGACCUUCCAGGAGUAUGUUACUUUUUUUUUUUUUAUGUAGGUUAUUACCCACUGUACAGACCGACAUGAUAGUUAUAAGGUUAAAUGAAGCAAUAUUUCUAUGCGUUUGUGUUUUGUGUCAGGGUUUUUCUCCACGUUGCUGGACAUAAGUACUUUCUAUAUGUUUUAUUAUAACAUUACAUACAGAUCAUUUUCACCAGAAAUUGAAAUAGAAUGACAAACCACAUUUACAAGUUCAAACAGUUACAUUGGGUGGGGAAUCUGCAGCAAUACAUGUUAACCACAGAAGUUAUUAAGUAAUCAUUAAAGUAAAUGUGAAUGGAGCUUUGCAGCAGGCCGCACACGCAGUUCAUUUCAAAAAGUUUUCUAUAUUUGUUGAUUUUGAAUGUUUGACUUUGGCUAAUUUUGGAAAAUCUUUGCUGAUCCAGAAUACCAGAGCACACCGAUCGUAAAGCUGACAUCUAACUUGAUAAAGAAAACUCCGCAAACACAUAUUUUGUAUUGAUUUAUGUUGCCAUUCUGCCGUUUGUGAUAGCUUACUGACAAGUGCCACCACAUUUUGGAUACAUAAACCGCUUCUGUUAAUGUACAACAUCUCCAUUUGUGAGCUAUUACCGCCACGCUUGUCUUGAUUUGUCAAAAGUAAAUAAUCCUGAAAAAGAUGACUGGUUUUUAAGUCCCAAUGUAUAUGAAGUGUUUCCCUUGACAGCAACGAUCUCUUAACGAACCGGGUUACAAAUCUCUAUCAAAUCUAAGAUAGUAUUUUAAGUUUAUGAUGAUUAACUUACAAAAAAACCCUAGACUUUUCAAAAAUCUGCUACUCUCAAAAUAAUUUGUGUCUCUAUUUGUUUUCAUUGAAUCUUCUUUGAGGCUUCACAUUCAUCAUUAUUGACAAAUUGUUUGUUUUUUAUUCACAACUUUGUGAAUACUUUGCAUGCUCAGCAGACUCACUAUUCCAGAACCAUCUUUCUCCUAAGCAGUAUUAUUCACAAGGGAGACACUAUGAUUAGAACCUGUACUGUAGGUUAGGUAAUAAUCAUGUUUGCAUAGAAGAUUAUCCUGAGAGAAAACAUUUAGAUCACGUGUUGGAGAAGCAGGUUUAGGCCAAGCUACAAUAAUCCUCUGCCCCUCAUCACGUUUUUUUUUACUGUUGCUUGGUUGUCAUAAAAUUUCUGUGUCAUCUGGAGGUUAUUGUAAAUUAUUGGUGUAAGUAAAAUGGUAAAUAUUGUGAAUAUUCUGUUAUUGUUCUGCAUUAUUUGAGCUGGUCAGAUGUUGCUUUGAGGAGGGAUGUUUUCACCUUUGAUGUAAAACUUGACAAUCUCAUCCACUUUAGAAGAAAAUAAAGCUUCAAAAAUAUAAUACUGAUUGACAUGUAAUAUUGCUGUGGCAUUGAACAUAUAAUUGUUCUGUUGAAUGGCACCAAAAAAAACAAUUUUACCCAGGUACCAUUAAAUGGACAUGUGUAGUAUUACCGAAACUUUUACAAUUUAAUUUACAACACAAUCAUUUAAUAUGUUCACUUUCAUUUACAACACAAUAAUAGAAUAUUCACAAAGUGUACAGUUUUAUUUACAACAAAAUAAUAGAAUGUUUAUAAUUCUAUUUACAACACAAUAGUAGAAUAUUUACAAUGUUUGCUAUUUUAUGUACAGUACAAUAAUGGAAUAAUCAGAAGACAUAAGUAACCCCUGAGUUGUCAGCCUCAACAGCC